rnacentral:rRNA from 1 species
GAUUGAACGCUGGCGGCAUGCUUUACACAUGCAAGUCGAACGGUAACAGGCCUUCGGGUGCUGACGAGUGGCGAACGGGUGAGUAAUGCAUCGGAACGUGCCCAGAGGUGGGGGAUAACGCAGCGAAAGCUGUGCUAAUACCGCAUGUGAUCUGAGGAUGAAAGCGGGGGACCAGGCAGCAAUGUUUGGCCUCGCGCCUUUGGAGCGGCCGAUGUCAGAUUAGGUAGUUGGUGGGGUAAAGGCCUACCAAGCCGACGAUCUGUAGCUGGUCUGAGAGGACGACCAGCCACACUGGGACUGAGACACGGCCCAGACUCCUACGGGAGGCAGCAGUGGGGAAUUUUGGACAAUGGGCGCAAGCCUGAUCCAGCAAUGCCGCGUGCGGGAAGAAGGCCUUCGGGUUGUAAACCGCUUUUGUACGGAACGAAAAGGCUCUGGCUAAUACCUGGGGCUGAUGACGGUACCGUAAGAAUAAGCACCGGCUAACUACGUG